UUGGGGGGGGUAUUUUUUUUUCCUUUUUUUUCUAUAAAAUUUUCCAUUUUAAAUUGGUUAUUUCUGAUUUAUAUAUAAAAGCAAAUAAUAAUGAUAUGGUUUGAAUAGGUAAAUUAAAAAUUUUUAAGUUCUUAGACCACAUUCAUUCUGUGUCAGAAACCUAUGCUGUGUCAAAUAUUUAAUCACAAUCCAAAGUCAGUGCUGUAUCAAGCUUGAAUAUUGUGUCCAUUCUUGCCCCAACUGUUCAGGGUUUGACCUCUGCGGUCGUAUCAAGCUGCGCACAGCGGAGUAUUUUAUUGGUUAUUAUCUUGAAUAUUAUUAUAGAUAGAGAUAAACUGUAAACAUCAAUAAUGUUCAGCAAAGUAAGAUCUACAAAUAAGUCGUCAUGACCAGAAUUGUCAGUCUACCCCUUUAGGAGUUAUUGCCCUUUAUAGUCAAUUUUAACAAUUUUUUCGUAAAUUUUUGUAAUCUUCUUCAAAAUCUUGUUCUCUGAAACUUUCUACUGAGACAAAUUUAGGUAUCUAGUUUAAAAAAAUUAUCUGAUGACCCAGCCUUCCAACCAUCAUGGCCGACUUGGUUAAAAAUAGAACAUAGGGGUAAAAUGCAGUUUUUGGUUUAUAUCUCUGAAACUAAAUCAUUUAGAGCAAAUCUGACAGGUGGCAAAAAUGUUCAUCAGAUUUAGAUUUAUCUGCCUUGAAAUUUUCAGACGAAUCCGACUACCCAUUGUUGGGUUGCUGUCCCUGAGUUAGUAAUUUUACAGAAAUUUUGCAGUUUUUAUGCCCCCGCCGUAGCGGAGGGGGCAUUAAGUUUUACCCUUGUCCUUCUGUAUGUACGUACGUACGUCCCAAAAUUGGUUUCCAUUCUCUAACUUUAGUUUGCCUCAACCAAAUGUUAUGAAACUUAUACACAAUGCUUAUUACCACAAAACACAGAUCAAGAUUGAAAUUUGGUAGCGUCACUUUUACCGUUCUAGAGUUAUGCCCCUUUACAAAUGGAAAACUUGCUGAAUUUUUCAUUUCCGUUCUCUAAUUUUAGUUAGCCUCAACCAAAUGUUAUGAAACUUAUACAAGAUGCUUAUUACCACAAAACACAGAUCAAGUUUGAAUUUUGGUGGCGUCACUUUAACCAUUCUAGAGUUAUGCCCUUUAGAAAUGGAAAAAUUGGAAAAUUUUUAUUUUCUUCUAAAUAUCUAGUAAUUUUUAAAAUUGGAGAUAUCUUCCUUUGUCCAUGAUUAUAGUUGAAUCAACAACAAUCAAUGCUUUAUACAAUGCAAUGUUUAAUUUUGACUUCCACUGAUAAAACACAGAUCAAGUUGAAUUUAGGUAGUGUCACUUUAAUCAUUAUUGAGUUAUGCCCCUUUAUAAUUCGAAAGAUUGCAAAAUUUUUAGUUUCCAUUCUGUAACUUAAGUUUGCCGCCUCAACCAAAUGUUAUGAAACUUAUACACAAUGCUUAUUACUACAUAAUACAGAUUAAGUACGAAAUUUGGUAGCAACACUUUUACCAUUCUUGAGUUAUGUCCCUUUAUAAACAUAAAAAAAUUUUCGUUUCCGUUCUCUAACUUUAGUUUGUCUCAACCAAAUGUUAUAAAACUUAUACACAACUGUUCUAGAGUUAUGCGUGUUUACAAAUAGAAAAAUUGCUGAAUUUUUAUACGCCCGUUUACGGGACGUAUUAUGGUAUACCGUUGUCCGUCUGUCCGUCUGUCCGUCCGUCUGUCCGUCCGUCGUCAACAUGUCGGACAUUAACUCAAAAACGCUUUAACCAAUUUGCAUAAAACUUUGGUGAAUUGUUUAUAUCUAUUGACGUGAGCUCCCUUUCAUUUUUUAUAAAUUUUAGAUUUUAUGUUUCCGAGUUAUGGGGUUUUAUUCAUUAAAAAAAGGGGGAUUUUCCAGUUUUCGGACAAUAACUCAAGAAUGCUUUCACCAACUUGAAAGAAAUUCUGGUGAAUUGUUUAUAUCUAUUGACAUGAGCUCCUUUUCGAUUUUUAUAUAUUUUAGAUUUUACGUUUCCGAGUUACAGGGA